rnacentral:rRNA from 1 species
GCGGCAGGCCUAACACAUGCAAGUCGAGCGGUAGCACAGAGAGCUUGCUCUCGGGUGACGAGCGGCGGACGGGUGAGUAAUGUCUGGGAAACUGCCUGAUGGAGGGGGAUAACUACUGGAAACGGUAGCUAAUACCGCAUAAUGUCGCAAGACCAAAGUGGGGGACCUUCGGGCCUCAUGCCAUCAGAUGUGCCCAGAUGGGAUUAGCUAGUAGGUGGGGUAACGGCUCACCUAGGCGACGAUCCCUAGCUGGUCUGAGAGGAUGACCAGCCACACUGGAACUGAGACACGGUCCAGACUCCUACGGGAGGCAGCAGUGGGGAAUAUUGCACAAUGGGCGCAAGCCUGAUGCAGCCAUGCCGCGUGUGUGAAGAAGGCCUUCGGGUUGUAAAGCACUUUCAGCGGGGAGGAAGGCGUUAAGGUUAAUAACCUUGGCGAUUGACGUUACCCGCAGAAGAAGCACCGGCUAACUCCGUGCCAGCAGCCGCGGUAAUACGGAGGGUGCAAGCGUUAAUCGGAAUUACUGGGCGUAAAGCGCACGCAGGCGGUCUGUCAAGUCGGAUGUGAAAUCCCCGGGCUCAACCUGGGAACUGCAUUCGAAACUGGCAGGCUAGAGUCUUGUAGAGGGGGGUAGAAUUCCAGGUGUAGCGGUGAAAUGCGUAGAGAUCUGGAGGAAUACCGGUGGCGAAGGCGGCCCCCUGGACAAAGACUGACGCUCAGGUGCGAAAGCGUGGGGAGCAAACAGGAUUAGAUACCCUGGUAGUCCACGCCGUAAACGAUGUCGAUUUGGAGGUUGUGCCCUUGAGGCGUGGCUUCCGGAGCUAACGCGUUAAAUCGACCGCCUGGGGAGUACGGCCGCAAGGUUAAAACUCAAAUGAAUUGACGGGGGCCCGCACAAGCGGUGGAGCAUGUGGUUUAAUUCGAUGCAACGCGAAGAACCUUACCUGGUCUUGACAUCCACAGAACUUUCCAGAGAUGCUUUGGUGCCUUCGGGAACUGUGAGACAGGUGCUGCAUGGCUGUCGUCAGCUCGUGUUGUGAAAUGUUGGGUUAAGUCCCGCAACGAGCGCAACCCUUAUCCUUUGUUGCCAGCGGUUMGGCCGGGAACUCAAAGGAGACUGCCAGUGAUAAACUGGAGGAAGGUGGGG